GGAGAGGUGUCCGAGUGGUUGAAGGAGCACGCCUGGAAAGUGUGUGUAUUGCGAAAGUGGUACCGAGGGUUCGAAUCCCUCUCUCUCCG
rnacentral:tRNA from 1 species